rnacentral:rRNA from 1 species
GAGUUUGAUCCUGGCUCAGAGCGAACGCUGGCGGCAGGCCUAACACAUGCAAGUCGAACGAUCCUUCGGGAUAGUGGCGGACGGGUGAGUAACACGUGGGAACGUGCCCUUUGGUUCGGAACAACUCAGGGAAACUUGAGCUAAUACCGAAUGUGCCCUUCGGGGGAAAGAUUUAUCGCCAUUGGAGCGGCCCGCGUCUGAUUAGCUAGUUGGUGAGGUAAAGGCUCACCAAGGCGACGAUCAGUAGCUGGUCUGAGAGGAUGAUCAGCCACACUGGGACUGAGACACGGCCCAGACUCCUACGGGAGGCAGCAGUGGGGAAUCUUGCGCAAUGGGCGAAAGCCUGACGCAGCCAUGCCGCGUGAAUGAUGAAGGUCUUAGGAUUGUAAAAUUCUUUCACCGGGGACGAUAAUGACGGUACCCGGAGAAGAAGCUCCGGCUAACUUCGUGCCAGCAGCCGCGGUAA